CAGUAGCCACGGGAAUACGUAGGGUGCAAGCGUUGUCCGGAAUUAUUGGGCGUAAAGAGCUCGUAGGCGGUUUGUCGCGUCUGCUGUGAAAUCCCGAGGCUCAACCUCGGGCUUGCAGUGGGUACGGGCAGACUAGAGUGCGGUAGGGGAGAUUGGAAUUCCUGGUGUAGCGGUGGAAUGCGCAGAUAUCAGGAGGAACACCGAUGGCGAAGGCAGAUCUCUGGGCCGUUACUGACGCUGAGGAGCGAAAGCGUGGGGAGCGAACAGGAUUAGAUACCCGUGUAGUCCCUGUCUCUUAUAC
rnacentral:rRNA from 1 species